CAACAGGGAUUGCCCUAGUAACGGCGAGUGAAGCGGCAACAGCUCAAAUUUGAAAUCUGGCGCAAGCCCGAGUUGUAAUUUGUAGAGGAUGCUUCUGGGUAGCGACCGGUCUAAGUUCCUUGGAACAGGACGUCAUAGAGGGUGAGAAUCCCGUAUGUGACCGGCCCGCACCCUUUACGUAGCUCCUUCGACGAGUCGAGUUGUUUGGGAAUGCAGCUCUAAAUGGGAGGUAAAUUUCUUCUAAAGCUAAAUACCGGCCAGAGACCGAUAGCGCACAAGUAGAGUGAUCGAAAGAUGAAAAGUACUUUGGAAAGAGAGUUAAAAAGCACGUGAAAUUGUUGAAAGGGAAGCGCCUGCAAUCAGACUUCGCGGCAGUGUUCCACCGGUCUUCUGACCGGUCUAUUCUCUGUCGCGAGGCCAUCAUCGUCUCGGCCCGCUGGAUAAGACCUUGGGAAUGUAGCUCACCUUCGGGGGAGUGUUAUAGCUCAUGGUGAUGCAGCGAGGCUGGGGCGAGGUCCGCGCUUCGGCAAGGAUGAUGGCGUAAUGGUUGUCGGCGGCCCGUCUUGAAACACGGACCAAGGAGUCUAACAUCUAUGCGAGUGUUCGGGUGUCAAACCCCUACGCGUAAUGAAAGUGAACGGAGGUGGGAACCGCAAGGUGCACCAUCGACCGAUCCUGAUGUCCUCGGAUGGAUUUGAGUAAGAGCAUAGCUGUUGGGACCCGAAAGAUGGUGAACUAUGCCUGAAUAGGGUGAAGCCAGAGGAAACUCUGGUGGAGGCUCGCAGCGGUUCUGACGUGCAAAUCGAUCGUCAAAUUUGGGUAUAGGGGCGAAAGACU
rnacentral:rRNA from 1 species